UACGUAGGUGGCAAGCGUUGUCCGGAUUUACUGGGCGUAAAGAGCGCGCAGGCGGUCGUUCAAGUCGCGUGUGAAAGCCCCCGGCUCAACUGGGGAGGGUCACGCGAUACUGAUCGACUCGAAGGCAGGAGAGGGUAGUGGAAUUCCCGGUGUAGUGGUGAAAUGCGUAGAUAUCGGGAGGAACACCAGUGGCGAAGGCGGCUUACUGGUCCAUAACUGACGCUGAGGUGCGAAAGCGUGGGGAGCAAACAGG
rnacentral:rRNA from 1 species